GAUAAACGCUAGCGGCAGGCUUAACACAUGCAAGUCGAGGGGCAGCAUAGAUUGUAGCAAUACAAUUGGUGGCGACCGGCGCACGGGUGCGUAACGCGUAUGCAACCUACCCGUCACAGGGGGAUAAUCCGGAGAAAUCUGGUCUAAUACCCCAUAACAUAUGGAUCGGCAUCGGUUCAUGUUGAAAUUUUCGGAGGUGACGGAUGGGCAUGCGUAGCAUUAGCUUGUUGGUGAGGUAACGGCUCACCAAGGCGACGAUGCUUAGGGGGACUGAGUGUUUUUCCCCCCACACGGGUACUGAGACACGGACCAGACUCCUACGGGAGGCAGCAGUGAGGAAUAUUGGUCAAUGGGCGCAAGCCUGAACCAGCCAUGCCGCGUGCAGGAUGACGGCUCUAUGAGUUGUAAACUGCUUUUGUACGAGUGUAAAGUGGGUUACGUGUAACCUUUUGAAAGUAUCGUACGAAUAAGGAUCGGCUAACUCCGUGCCAGCCGCCGCCGUAA
rnacentral:rRNA from 1 species